rnacentral:misc_RNA from 1 species
GAAAAUUAAGAAAGGAAGAGAGGUCCAACAUGAAGAUGAAGAGUCUCGUUUGGUAGCCAAGGAUGACUUGCCUGCAGCCUCACGCAGGUUUUUUCAUCAACUUGCAUUAAAUAAGGCAGGCAAGUUCUUGAAUAUGAAUGCGGUUUGUAGGCAGUCUCCUUGGCUAACGAGACGGGCUCUCAUCCUUCAUGGUGGACUUCAAUCUUCUUCCAUUGCAGAAUAUCGUUGCACGACAAAAGAAAUAAUCUUGAAUUUUUGAUGGUCUAAGCUUGCUGAAUAAUUGAUCCAGGCAUAUCGAUGGUGCAAAAAUGUUUUACUAAGGAAAAAAAGGGCCAUAUAAGCCUUGAGGGAUAAGUAUGAAAUACUAGGAAACCCCACUUAUUUCUACAAAUAUACAUACAAACUAAGGUUUAUUAAUCUUUUUCUCACUUUUGUAGCUCUCUUUUUCUUCUCGUUUUGACAGUUAUUUCUGUAUUUUGCAGGUAUAUAGUUAAGAUGAUAAGGGAUACACUUGAAAGUUGGAAUUCGAUGAAAUUGCUGAAAUUUUUACUCAAUGCAAUGAUUGUAAUCUUUGCUAGUAGGGUUGGGUGAAAAUCCUUGUGUACAAGAAAAGUAACCGAGUAUGGGCAUUUGUUGACUAAAGCAAGCAAUUUUUCUCUUAUAAAAGAGGAGAUUGCUGCUGUAAUGUGUGAGUGCAGAGAGAAUGUGAGAGCUAUGAUAGUUGGAGAGCUAAGAAAAUGAGGAAGAAAAGAAAGAAAUAAAAAAUUCCAGCACUUGUUUUUGUAUGCUUCUUUUUUAUUAAUGAAAUUGUGUUUUUCACUCCAUCUCUACUCUCUUUUUUGUUUCUUAAUGUUAAGCUUUUGUUAUGUCUUAUGAAUGUUAAAAAUCCAAUCUCUCUCUCUUAUAUUUUUAGAAAUUACUGUUAGAUUUCUAUUUACCAUAUUCUGCUUAUUGCAGAAUUUCUCUUGUGGAAUUUAUUUUCCUAUUUUUUGUUCAUGAAUAUAUGUUUGAAGCCUCCAUUUUUCAUAAGAGGCUCCUUUUAUAUGACAAAAGUACAAAAUAAACGCAAGGAUUUUACCAUUAAAUGAUGAGUUUCAGUGCCAUUUGUAUAUGUUGCAGUGGAGAAAUAAAGGCAGAGAACACAUACAGAAAGAAUUGAAAAUCAUAAAGUCAAUGAAAUACAAAUGCAAAUGUUUAACCUCAAUACUCACCAUGGAGAAAGAAACUACUAAAUAUAGUAAGGUAAAAUAUCCAAGAACUAUCCUAGAAGCGGAGGAAGAAUUUCAUGGUCCUUGUAGUAGAAGUCGAUCUUCCCAUCUAUCACAGAAUCUGCUAAACAAUUGGGAUUGCCUUCGUGCCACUGAAUAGCCAAAUAAUUUUUUAUUAAAUUUAUACCUAAAUGAAAUAAAAUUGAUGAAAAAAUGAGAAAUUUCAAGGUGCUAAACUAAAUGCACCAAACAACCAGACUUAAUGAUAACACAUGGACAGAACAUCAGGACAAAUAAUAUUUUUUAGCACACAGCUCAAUAGCUUAUCAACUAGUUGAAGAAAUAGCCACGAGCUUAUCCUUCAUUAAAUCAUUAUAGCAUACAACUGCACAAGCAUCACACAUCUUACACAUUACAUACAGUUUGUAUAUGAAGUAAAUGAGUCAUACCUUCAUAUGUUUUAUGAUCCAGUAAUGAUUAUUACAAUUGACAGAAAUCAGGAACAAUAACAGAUCCAACAGUAUUUCUACGUCAAAGUCGCAUUUUCAUGCUAACUUCUUUACUUUUAUUAAUAUGCAGUUCCUUGAUUUCACUAUCAUAACACUUAUUAAGAACAAGUAAUUUACACAAUGUAGGAAAUUCAAUGCAGAAAAAGUAGAUGUAUGCUGCUAACCUCUCUGAAAAAUAGGGAGCAAUAUGACUGGCAACAUCAUAGGCAACGGCCAAUUUUCCAAUUUUUUCCUACAAAUUUGGUGCAGUGGCCUACACUUUGACAAAAUCUAGCUUGAUAAAAACCACAACAACUAAAUCUGAAAAGAUUACUAUCAGCAACCAUAAAGCAUAAAUCCAAACAUAUAACAGACAAACCUCUAAAACUAUUUCAGACCAGACUUUCAACUUAAUAUCCAUCAAAGUCAUCCCAAAACCAUCAGUGUGAUCAAUAUAAGCAUAUGCUCCAAUAAAAAGGGAUGCCAUUGAAAGAAAAAUGCAUUUGAGGGUGCAAAGUUAGCAAUUUUAAAAUUUUUCACACCUAGGGUUUCAUGCAUCAUAAAAACCACUUAUACCAUUGUAAAACACAUAAUUUAGUUAUAACAAAUUAUGCUUCAUUUGCUAAUAUAUCUAAUUGCCAUUAGGAAACAAAAGCCCCAAAUUUAACAAAGUAAAGUUUAGGGAAAUUUACCCCUUAGGCACAGAAUCAAAUUCAACACUAAAUUUGGGGAGUAGAGACAACUAAUUAUUGGUCCUCUAUCUUGUCCACACAAGAAAAGUGAUCAAAGCUCUCUUGAAUCAACUAAAACCCUCUCUUGCUCUUCCUUUAGGUUCGGCCAAGAUUGGAAGAAUGGAAGUUUUGAUUUUUCUAGGUUUUAAGCGUAUAGAAGUGAUGAGAAACACUUUCUCAACAUUUAAUUCAAGAGUAACAGCUUCUAAUUUCUCUUGAAUCAUGCAAAAGAAGGAAGGGAAAGUUUGGCUAUGGAGAGAGAGUGUGUUUUUCG